UUUAGGGACUAAAACAACAAUUAUCCAAAAACAGGGAUCAAAACGUAAUUUUACCAAAACUGGACCAAACUGUAAAUACAUAACCAUACUGAAAUUUAUCCAUAAUUCAUCCUUAUCUUUGUCCAGAAUCUCGAAUUAUCCCCCAAGAGCCAAACUGUGAUUUUAUCAAAAUUUUAGGGGUCAAAUCGUAAUUUGUCAAAUUGGAGGACCAAACUGAAAAUAUCAUAUAUUCCUAAUUAUACUGGAAUUUUGCCCUUAAAUCAUCCUCAGUUCUGUUCAGAACCUCAAUUUAUGCCCCAGGAACCAAUCUGUAAUAUUUCCAAAGUUUGGGGACUAAACUGUAAUUUUCAUAAUUUGAGGGACCAAACUGAAAAUAUUCCAAAUCAAUUAUCAAACUGAGAUUCAUCAUCCUUAACCUCAUAAUAACACUGUCCAGAGUCUCAAAAUACAGUUAAGGAUCAAAUUAUAAUUUUCCCAAAGUUUAGGGACCAAACUGUAAUUUCACAAAUUGAGGGACCAAAUUGAAUUUUCGUCAUCUUCAACCUCAAACCCAGAAUUUCACAGAUUACCUACUGUCAUCACCUGAUUUCUAACAUAAUUUCACCAUUCAAAUAAAAUCAUAACUCAAAAUCAUCAUCUUUACCUCCAAUCUCUCACAAUCAACUAAUUAACCAAUUACCCACAACAAUCAACCCAUAACCUUUCAAUUAAUUCAUCAAUCAAACUCAAAACACAAUAUUCAAAACCCUAACAUUUAUCAUAACAGAAAUUAAGGCGUAAAGAACACAAAUUUAUACAUAAUCUUACCUUUAAACUUAUUUCCUCCAAUUCUCUUCUCCUUUCCUUAUCUUUCCCUCUUUUCUCCUCUUCUUCUUCCCUUUUUCUUCUCUUCUCCCGUCAGUUUUUCACACUUAAAACACAGCUCUCCUCUUCUAUUUUCUUUUCUAUUUAUAUUUAUCAACUCUUUGUUCAAUUACUAUAAUACCCCUUAUUCAUUUAUACUCAUUUUUAGCCUUUAAGGGCUUUAUUGCCUUUUACUUACUCAUUCAUUUACAAGACAUCACACUAAGAAGCAACCUGUCGUGGCCAAGUCGAGUGUUGAGGCUGGAUACCACUCUAUGACACUCACUGUAGCUGAACUUUAUUGGCUACGUAUGCUCUUUUGUGAACUUCAGGACAAAAUACAUCGAAGUCGAUUAUCACUUCAUACGUGAGAAGAUUCUGAACAAAGAUUUACAAGCUCAUUAUAUUUCAACUUAUGAUCAACCAUCAGACAUCUUCACCAAGGGCCUUUCUUCUUCACGAUUCUUCCUACAUCGAGACAAGUUGAUGCUUCGAUCUCUCCCCAUCAACUCUCGGGGGGGUGUUAGACAAGAUAUAUACAAGCCCUAGGAAAAAUAGAAAUUAUAGGAAUGACAUAUUACUUUUCUUAUCCAGUUGUUUGUUCAAUAUCUGAUAACUAGUUUGUUCAAUCUGAUAACUAGAAUCUUUGAUUCUUUGUAUUUUACAGCUCUUAUCUUAUCUGUAAAUACAAACAUGUAAAUAUCCUUAUAAAUACAUGAAUAUUCCUUGCUGGAGUACUGAACCAGCCUUCAUAAUUCCUUUAA